CACGUAGGGGGCGAGCGCUGUCCGGAUUUAUUGGGCGUAAAGAGCUCGUAGGCGGUUUCGUAAGUCGGAUGUGAAAACUCCAGGCUCAACUUGGAGACGCCAUUCGAUACUGCGAUGACUUGAGUCCGGUAGGGGAGUGUGGAAUUCCUGGUGUAGCGGUGAAAUGCGUAGAUAUCUGGAGGAACACCGGUGGCGAAGGCGGCGUUCUGGACUGCAACUGACACUGAUGAACGAAAGCCAGGGGAGCAAACGGG
rnacentral:rRNA from 1 species